rnacentral:lncRNA from 1 species
UUUUUAAUAUAGAGUUUUUAGAUCACUUUGUUUUGACCUAGAUGAGACUUAAAAUCAAGUUUAGGGACCUGGAUGACACAACUGAACAAAUUUGAGGACUUAAACGGGUGAUUUCUAAGUUUAGGGACCGAGAUGACACGACUAAACAAGUUUAGGGACUGAGAUGAUACAGACGAACAAGUUCGAGGACCUAAAUCGUCGAUUUGCGAGUUUAGGGACCGGGAUGACACAUUAAUACAAGUUUAGGGACCGGUGGUGGACUUUACUCUUUACUUAUCUACGCCCUUUGUACUGUUUACAUGUCAACUCUGUAAUAUGAAUCAUUUGUGCUUUUUACGAAAUUAGCCAUUAUGCUUUUCAUUGCUGAUGAAUGAAGCAAUUCUCUUGUGAACUUGCUAAAAUUUAAUGCUAUGGAAGAUAUGUCAUGAUAGGGCGCCCGUGUUCUAGUAAUAUUGAAAAGGCCUAAAGGGAGAAAGAGUGACGAACGGCACGCAGAAAAUAAAAUGAUAAAAAAAACAAAACAUGUCAGGUGGAGUGAGAGGAGCAGUAGUCCCAUGUGCGUGCGCAGUGUGUGUUCUCGGUAUCUAGGCCUGGAAUCAAAUGUGGACGGGAAACA